GCAGGCUGUCAGCUGUAAUGAAGGGGGAGCCCACAACUACAAUCAAGCUGUUCCUUUACCUUCGAUGAAACAGGGCGGUUUCCUCCUCAAAGACUCCCCUGUCCUCGUGUAGAGAGUAGCCGGAGAUCGCUCACAGCAUCCAGCAGUGGCGUGGCACAGCCUGCGCAAGAGGGCUGUCCCACUAGACAGCGUGCAAGACAGAGAAAAUAAUCCAUCUGAUUGCAUCCUGCUAUAAUGAGCUGAAAGGUUUCUCCAGCAUCCCCCAGAAUGGGUAGGAGGGAGCAGAAGGCGGACACAGAGACACAGACCACUUCUACAACCAGUGUACUCUGUCCACACUCAGAGAAACAAGAGACUACACACUUCGUUAUAUUCCUUGCAUUCACAUUUUUUACAUUCUAGAGCUACAGAGUCUGUUGGAUUCAUCUUGCUAUGGUUAUUGGAAGUAGCUCUUGAAGUCUCUCAAGAAUCUAGGAACAAGGGUCAAACAUUCAGAUAGUGUCAGUGAGCUUCAAAGCAAGAAAGGAACUGAGGUGUUGGCCAAGUAUAAGGGUUUCUGAGACACAUUGAUCCAAGGAAUUAGUAAAUGAUUGAGCGUUAUCAACAGUCUAGGAACAGAGGAUAAAAAAAAGAUGGGAAGAGACAGAAAGACACAGAUUCUUGUUAAGAGAGCUGGCCAUUCUAUUGUUUUCAAGAAACUCUGAUUUCCUGUACAGAGAAUCCCUAGGUUAAAAACGGCCUCUCCUAUUUAGGGGAUGCAUUUUUGGAAAGGGGAGAUUCAGUUUGUCGCAUCCAGAUUUAUAUAGAGAGAGAGAUUUAACCGUAAGUGUAUUCUGCUUGGUUUAGAAGACAGCUUUAUCUCUUCUGUUGACCUGUCUACAGCAGGUAUUAUAUAGGAUUUUAAUAACUGGUAGCACUCUGGGGUUUUUCUGGUUGGCCAGGACAUAGAUCUCUGGGAAGUGUUGUUUGUAAAUAGAGUAACUUGUAUGUUACAGUUUGAGCUGUGUGUUCUUAGUGUGUGUUUUGUCAUUGUUUGUAUUUGUUUAACCUAGCGUGCAUGAUUUAUUACCCUUUUCAUCAAAGCUGUGCUGGAGAAGAAAAGAACUCAGGUGCCAAAUCUUUAACACAUGGGGGUUAUAAUUAUCUAUUUGACUUACUGACUCAUUUGCUUGGUCUUCUUUUGUAAUUCUCUUUUUUCGUAACCGCCGAUUUGUAACAGUAUUUUGAAAGUUUGAAAUGUUGUCUCUUCUGGGUACGUACUUUUCCCAGUGUUUUUUAUAUAGCAAUGCCACAGCAGGAGAGGGGAGGCUCUGAUGAAUGUAACGUGUAAAUUUUAAAUAGCGCUCGCAUGAAAAUUAGAGCAGAAAUGACUUUUCUGACUGGGGGAAUUAGGCUUGAGUUAUCGCUUUACUACUUCUCUCUUUUUUUAAAUGUAAUGUGUUAUCUCACUCUUAAGAUCAUUAAAACACA